rnacentral:rRNA from 1 species
UACGUAGGGUGCAAGCGUUAAUCGGAAUUAUUGGGCGUAAAGGGUGCGUAGGCGGUUUGUUAAGACGGAUGUGAAAUCCCUGGGCUCAACCUGGGAACUGCAUACGUGACUGGCAGACUAGAGUAUGGCAGAGGGAGGUGGAAUUCCACGUGUAGCAGUGAAAAUGCGUAGAUAUGUGGAGGAACACCGAUGGCGAAGGCAGCCUCCUGGGCCAAUACUGACGCUGAGGCACGAAAGCGUGGGGGAAGCAAACAGGG